rnacentral:rRNA from 1 species
AACGAACGCUGGCGGCAUGCCUAACACAUGCAAGUCGAACGAGACCUUCGGGUCUAGUGGCGCACGGGUGCGUAACGCGUGGGAACCUGCCCUUAGGUUCGGAAUAACUCCCCGAAAGGGGUGCUAAUACCGGAUUAUGUCUUCGGACCAAAGAUUUAUCGCCUUUGGAUGGGCCCGCGUUGGAUUAGCUAGUUGGUAGGGUAAAAGCCUACCAAGGCGACGAUCCAUAGCUGGUCUGAGAGGAUGAUCAGCCACACUGGGACUGAGACACGGCCCAGACUCCUACGGGAGGCAGCAGUGGGGAAUAUUGGACAAUGGGCGAAAGCCUGAUCCAGCAAUGCCGCGUGAGUGAUGAAGGCCGUAGGGUUGUAAAGCUCUUUUACCCGGGAUGAUAAUGACAGUACCGGGAGAAUAAGCUCCGGCUAACUCCGUG